UGAUGACACCAACCACGAACGGGAAC
rnacentral:piRNA from 1 species